GUAGGGAAUAUUGGGCAAUGGAAGGAAUUCUGACCCAGCCAUGCCGCGUGCAGGAAUACAGUCCUAUGGACUUUAAACUGCUUUUAUUAUAGAGUAACCUGGGGGACGUGUCCCCCACUGCAAGUAUAUAAUGAAUAAGCAUCGGCUAACUCCGUGCCAGCAGCCGCGGUAAUACGGGGGAUGCAAGCGUUAUCCGGAUUUAUUGGGUUUAAAGGGUGCGCAGGCUGAUCGGUAAGUCAUGGGUGAAAAGUCACUGCUUAACAGUGUUCGUGCCUAUGAUAAUGCCGGACUAGAGUUUAAGAGGUGUAACUGGAAUGUGAUGUGUAGCGGUGAAAUGCUUAGAUAUGUCACAGAACGCCAAUCGUGAAGACAGGUUACAAACUUAAUACUGACGCUCAUGCACGAAAGCGUGGGGAUCAAACAGGAUUAGAAACCCGAGUAGUCC
rnacentral:rRNA from 1 species